UGCACGCGAUCGAACGAAUGAGAUCCGUUCCCGCGCACACGGACGACCCAGAUCAAAAGCGCGUACGGAUGGCCCAGAUUGCACGCGUACAAACGGCCCAGAUUGAAUCGUGCACGGACGGCCCAGAUUUCAUCGCGAUGAACAGCCCAGAUUCAUUUCCUAUUUGAUCGCGAUCGGACGACCCAGAAUAAAUCGCGAUGGAUGGCUCAUAUUAAAAGCGAAAGGUUAUAAAUAAUCUCAUCCACACCCAAACCCUAACCCUAGCCUCCAGAGCCCUCGUCGG
rnacentral:lncRNA from 1 species